UUUGGCACCUCGAUGUCGGCUCAUCACAUCCUGGGGCUGAAGUAGGUCCCAAGGGUAUGGCUGUUCGCCAUUUAAAGUGGUACGCGAGCUGGGUUUAGAACGUCGUGAGACAGUUCGGUCCCUAUCUGCCGUGGGCGCUGGAGAAUUGAGGGGGGCUGCUCCUAGUACGAGAGGACCGGAGUGGACGCAUCACUGGUGUUCGGGUUGUCAUGCCAAUGGCACUGCCCGGUAGCUAAAUGCGGAAGAGAUAAGUGCUGAAAGCAUCUAAGCACGAAACUUGCCCCGAGAUGAGUUCUCCCUGAGACU
rnacentral:rRNA from 1 species